rnacentral:rRNA from 1 species
UGUGUAGGCGGUUCUUUAAGUUUGGUGUGAAAUCUCCCGGCUCAACCGGGAGGGUGCGCCGAAUACUGAGGGACUAGAGUGUGGGAGAGGAAAGUGGAAUUCCUGGUGUAGCGGUGAAAUGCGUAGAUAUCAGGAGGAACACCGGUGGUGUAGACGGCUUUCUGGACCAUAACUGACGCUGAGACACGAAAGCGUGGGUAGAAACA